GAUGAACGCUGGCGGCGUGCCUAAUACAUGCAAGUCGAGCGAACAGACGAGGAGCUUACUCCUCUGACGUUAGCGGCGGACGGGUGAGUAACACGUGGAUAACCUACCUAUAAGACUGGGAUAACUUCGGGAAACCGGAGCUAAUACCGGAUAACAUGUUGAACCGCAUGGUUCAACAGUGAAAGACGGUCUUGCUGUCACUUAUAGAUGGAUCCGCGUCGCAUUAGCUAGUUGGUAAGGUAACGGCUUACCAAGGCAACGAUGCGUAGCCGACCUGAGAGGGUGAUCGGCCACACUGGAACUGAGACACGGUCCAGACUCCUACGGGAGGCAGCAGUAGGGAAUCUUCCGCAAUGGGCGAAAGCCUGACGGAGCAACGCCGCGUGAGUGAAGAAGGUCUUCGGAUCGUAAAACUCUGUUAUUAGGGAAGAACAAAUGUGUAAGUAACUAUGCACGUCUUGACGGUACCUAAUCAGAAAACCACGGCUAACUACGU
rnacentral:rRNA from 1 species